AUUACGCUUGGGCGGGCAGGCCUAAACAUGCAAGUCGAGCGGUAGAGAGAAGCUUGCUUCUCUUGAGAGCGGAGAGACGGGUGAGUAAUGCCUAGGAAUCUGCCUGGUAGUGGGGGAUAACGUUCGGAAACGAACGCUAAUACCGCAUACGUCCUACGGGAGAAAGCAGGGGACCUUCGGGCCUUGCGCUAUCAGAUGAGCCUAGGUCGGAUUAGCUAGUUGGUGAGGUAAUGGCUCACCAAGGCGACGAUCCGUAACUGGUCUGAGAGGAUGAUCAGUCACACUGGAACUGAGACACGGUCCAGACUCCUACGGGAGGCAGCAGUGGGGAAUAUUGGACAAUGGGCGAAAGCCUGAUCCAGCCAUGCCGCGUGUGUGAAGAAGGUCUUCGGAUUGUAAAGCACUUUAAGUUGGGAGGAAGGGCAUUAACCUAAUACGUUAGUGUUUUGACGUUACCGACAGAAUAAGCACCGGCUAACUCUGUGCCAGCAGCCGCGGUAAUACAGAGGGUGCAAGCGUUAAUCGGAAUUACUGGGCGUAAAGCGCGCGUAGGUGGUUUGUUAAGUUGGAUGUGAAAUCCCCGGGCUCAACCUGGGAACUGCAUUCAAAACUGACUGACUAGAGUAUGGUAGAGGGUGGUGGAAUUUCCUGUGUAGCGGUGAAAUGCGUAGAUAUAGGAAGGAACACCAGUGGCGAAGGCGACCACCUGGACUAAUACUGACACUGAGGUGCGAAAGCGUGGGGAGCAAACAGGAUUAGAUACCCUGGUAGUCCACGCCGUAAACGAUGUCAACUAGCCGUUGGAAGCCUUGAGCUUUUAGUGGCGCAGCUAACGCAUUAAGUUGACCGCCUGGGGAGUACGGCCGCAGGUUAAAACUCAAAUGAAUUGACGGAAGGGCG
rnacentral:rRNA from 1 species